CGCAUGAGAGAGAGGCCAUUUUCCGCAGAGGGGCCGCUCCGUAGACACGUAUGACGACACUUCCGGGCACUCAGGGCACCAACGGAGGGACCGGGAGAACGACUUGAAAAACGUACGGAGCGCUAAUUAUGUUUAGGAGGGAAGGAAAUCGGAGACUGGCGGGUUUCUGAAUACACUUCCGGUUUUAAACUUGGACUUGUUUUCUGAGGCAAAGGCUUUCAUCAGAGAGUUUCCAGAUUCCUAGAGCGGCGCCGCACGAAGUCCCGAGAGAUGCGGACUUUCGUUUCUGUGCCGGAAGUUAUCUGUAGCCUUCAGCUCCCACUUUAGACGCUUUUCGUCUCUGUAUUCUUUCCCCGCAUAUGACGGCGACCGAAUGGAAACCGGAAUCGAUACCUGAGUGCGACACCUCUUGACGUUUUCAUCUCUAUUGUUGUGGAGGGCCGAGCCAAGCGGGCCGUAGAUCAGCCUUCGCCCGUCUGGAUCCCCUAGAAAUUUCGCACUACAAUUCCCAUCAGCUCCAGCGAGCGCGACAGGAUGGUGCUAGGGCUACUGGGAGUUGUAGUCCAGGCUGGACCGCAGAGGCCUCUGGGAAGGGUGGUGAGGUGUAUCCCCAUCGGGAAAAGCUUGCCUCUGAGCAUGUGCAGAGUAUUUCUCCCUCCACCUCCCUUUUCUGCUGCUCCGUGUCGUUUUCCUCCUCUGCCUGCCACAGUGCUUUGACUUGGAUUUCAACUCACGCCUGGGAUGUGGGAAGGGGAGCCCUUCUCAGCCUUGGGCCACCAGAUGUUCGUGAGCUACGACUCCUAUCAUCCCAGUGGCCAUGCUGGCUAGGAAUGAUGAGAGUUUUAGUCCAACAGCAUCUAACGACCCAAGGUUGAUGCAAUAUUAAAAGAAGAGGAUGCCUAGCCCUAGAGGCAUGUGCAGAGUGCCAUUCGCUCAAUGCCUCCUUUCUUCCUGGACUGCAGCGCGGGAACCGAGAGGAAUUCUGAGGAAUGCAGCUCCGCCUGCACGUCUGCAUGCCUUCCCCUGACUGAAUGCGUGUCAAGCGUCCUGGUAGUGCAGUCCCAGUGCAGUCAGGUAUUCACACAUAAUAUAACCAGCAGCUUGUUGCUCAGACGUUCAAAAGGCAGAGACAUUCCAGGUUUAGGGCGGUAUAUAAAUUCAAUUAAUAAUAAUAAUAAUAACCAAAUUUCCAUAUUGGAACCUUCCACCCACAUCUCUCUGACACCUUCAUUGCAGACAGGCAAGUUCACUUAUAAAAGAGUCCCCUGCCUGCCCCCCACCUCUUCUGAGCUGCCGCCUUGGUGUGUGUGAGAGACAUGGAGCACGUGCAGAAGAGUUAGUUGUCAAAUGCGCUCUUUAUAUGCUCACGGGCACUCUUGCGCCCGUCGCAGUAGAAGCUGCAAAUACGUUCCGGGGCUAAACUUUAGCCUCGACACCCGCUCGCCCCACUCCAAAUGCACGUGCAGUGGCAACGGGUACGUGUCCAGUCUAGCGCCAUCGUCCUGCUUUCGCAUGCCAGGCUUUGCAAGACUCCUAAAUGCGCACGUGCAAACGCAGCCGCUCCCCGAACCUAUUGCUGCUCCAAGCCGGAGAAACAGAAGCUGCAGGGGAACAUCCGAUCCGGGCUUGCAAGAGCAAAAGGCGUCGCUUGGGAGCGCCGUGGGGGCGCUGGAAGUCAGCGCAGAAGAACUGCAAGGCUUUAGUGGGAGCUGCUGCAAUAUAUCGUCAGGGCGGUUCCAUGGUGUAAUGGUUAGCACUCUGGACUCUGAAUCCAGCGAUCCGAGUUCAAAUCUCGGUGGAACCUGCAACGAUCCUUCCUUGUUUUUCCCUUUAAGGCUAUUUUUAUUUUAUUUCUCAAAGGCGAAGGUCGCGUGAACGCAAGUUAUUUUCAAGUGCUCAAAACAUUUCCAAGCGAAACUCCCAUCAGCUCCGAGAUCUUUGAAUUGCUUUUAGAACUACAGCGACUGGAACGCUGAAUUUUAAGGGCUCGCCUCUUCACACAUGGGAAAGUAUGACCUGCCAACCUGAAUAGUCCUUGCGACGCACUGAGAUGGGCUGGAUCCUGUACCCUGGGCUGCAAUAAAUGCUCUUGGCGAAAAUGAUGUGAAAUCAAAUAGGAAACAUAUGAAUAAGUAUUUCCUGAAAUACACUGGGUUAGGAUGAUGCAGCCUCUUGAGUCAUGCAUCAAGAUGGGUCGUAUCCUGCACUCUGCUCUGCAAAUAACCAUCGGAAAUGAAUGCAGAUCCUGCUCUCUAAUAAAAAGCAUACCGACAAGCCAGAGUGCUUAUUAGCUCAAGUGCAAAGUGGGGAAUGCUUUGAAGCUCCAUAACCAAUCUGCAGCAAGCAACAUGUCUGACUGUUGAUGAUAGUGAUGGUUUGUCAGCAAGGUAACAGCAUAUGGCUGGAAGGGAUUUGGGAUGGUGCAAAGUCUCACCUAAGACAGGUACACAUCUGUUCCCCCAGAAAACGAAUUAUUGAGGUUUCAGGGAACCAGCGGCAGUUUCAUUGUUCCAUGGUGACACUUCUGAUAACAGAUUGUUUCAGAAGCCUGGCUCUCUUCCUAGGCAUGUUGAUGAGAUAUACACAGGCUAGGAUGGGUCAAGUAUUGAGAAUGAUGCAGACUCUUAGCAGCAGAUGUUUCAUUGUGAAGUUUGAUAGGUUUGGGGGCAGACGACAGUUCUCUGGACACCUUUGCUAAGUUACCCUCCACUUCCCCCUUGUGGGCUGGAUUGAAAGGGAAAAAGAAAGAGUUCAGUCCUAAGGAAUCCCACUUGUUCUUGUUGUCUCAGCAAAGCUUCAUAAAAAUGCUCUCUUUGCUGCAGUUUGGUUUCCCAAACCAGUUGACAAAGCAACUAUUGUUUACCAUUCCUUUGCAUGGGAGAAAUGCAGUUCAUUUCAGAUGGCUUUCAACCACCCGUCUCCAACCUUGCACCCUCCAGAUGUUUUGGACUUCAACUCCCAUCAACUCCAGCCCUGAAUGGCUGGGACUGAUGGGAGUUAUAGUCCAACAUCUAGAUGGUGCUAGGACCAGGUUGGCAAAGAUUGGUUGAAAGCCAUUUGAAAUGAACUGCGUUUCUCCCAUAUCAGUGGUUUAAAGCUCAAUAGCUUUAGGUGCAGAUAGAAUACCAUAGCUUACUCCCUUAUAUAGGUGUUAGGCUUAUAUAGUUUAUCUGUUGAACCAGUUUAACAGCUUUCUGCUUACUGUACUUGACUAAACCAAGUAUUUGGUUAGUUCUUGGCUGGCAUAAGUGUGUGAAUGCCAAUUAACAUGCAUGUUUUUGUUAUGUAAAUAGCAGUUCUUGGGAAACCUGACUAGAUUUAGGAUUAUGGGAUGGAGAGUUUGAUUCCUGCUAUCCCUGCCAAGUUCCCAGGGCAGGGAGGGGAGAUUACCUCUCUGAAGGCAUGGUUUGCUAUUGUCAACAUCAUCCUCAACACUGAGGGAAAUUGUACUUAAAAUUAAAUUACAUACAUUACACACA